CAGAGGGAGUGACCAUAUGCACCACUCCCACAGCAGGCACCCUAUGCCUCUGCAGCUCCGCCCCCACCACCUCCUCCUGGAACUGGAGGGUGGAUACCUCA